GAUACCAUGAUCGAAAUCACAGACCUCCACACUGGUACGAUAUUGUCCGCUUUGAACAUAAGCUCUCAUGGUUUUGCUUUUGAUUUCUCAAAAGACCUC